CAGGUCAGCUUGCCGCCCCGUUGCAGUCAUCUAUGGUUACACCUCUCUUUGGGCCUUAGUUUUCCCAUUUGUACAAUGGGGAGGUGGGACUUAGUAAUCUAAAAGCCAGCCUGAUUCUAACCUCUCUUCCAAGCCUAUCUCAUCCUGCUCCCAACUCACCUUCUGGAUGUGCCUGCCCUGCUGGGCCCCCUGAAUGUCAGAUAAGUGCCACCCUGGUUGCAGGGUGGAAUUGGGCCUCUGGACCUCCUGGCAGACCAGGAUCUCUAUGACCACUAGGACCUUAGGUCUACUCUGGCCAUGAAGGGCCCCAGGACCACCCUAGAUGCCCAGGAGUUUCUGGGCUGCCAGGAACCCUGUGGACACUGGGCCUUUCAGGGUUGCCCAGCCCAGACAAGCUCCUGGGAAUCCAUGGAGCUCAAGAACCAGUGAAGCCUCUGGGCCAGGGUCUCCUCAAGGACAACCAGGCCAGCCAGGUCUACAGCUUCAGGUGAAUAAUUUGCUCCUAGCACCACUCCACCCUUUCCAACCUGCCUAGUGUCUCAGAUCGUCAGUGAAGGGGACCCUGUAGACAUAAACUGGCCCUGAUUGCCUUGGAGAUAGCAGCAGGGGGGGACAACUGCCGGAUAACGUCGGAGGGAAGACGCUCCAGAGACGUACUUUUUUAUUCCUCUUCCGAGGUAGAGGAUUCCAAUGCAGAAGUUCCUCGGUGAUGACCUUCCAUGUUCCACAGUGACCAAAUAAAACAUACUGAGGGCGAUCAUUCAAGUAGCCUGAGGACUAUCAAGAUACUCAGUCCAGUUCUGCCUCCCUUUCCUGGUGUGAAAAGCUGAGAGAACAGAGAGGCCCAGCCCUGGCCUCUGCUGUCAGAUGGGAGGGCUACUUUACCACUUCCAUUCUGUGGGCUGCAGAGGAAGGAUGUAGGGAGCUGGAGAGUUUAGGGGUGAGGAAGCAGCAAGGGGCUCAUUAUGUUUGCCCAGGUCUUGCUGAUCAAGUCUCCAGCAGGCAUAAAACUAAGGCCAAGCUCCAGUUCCAGCAGCUGCCAUCGGCAGGCACUGGUGCCAGAGAGGGGCAAUUGGGGAUGUCUUAGGGAGCUGGCAGAGCCCCAGCCAUACCACUAGGCCACGAGAUGGGGGAAGGGAUGUCACAUAAAGAGUGAAAAGGAUCCGUGGCCCUCCUCUGCCUCCCCAUACACCAGGGUUCAGCCCCGAUGGGCUUGAGCUCCUCUGCAGCCCUGGUUGGGCUCUGUGGGGGGGAAAGGAAGACAAAGCUGCAGGCAUACCCUGAUUUAAACCAACUCAAUAAAUGAAAAGUCAUAUUUGGAAUUACAGUGUCAGAACUUGAAAAGCCCU
rnacentral:lncRNA from 1 species